AUUGAACGCUGGCGGCAUGCCUUACACAUGCAAGUCGAACGGUAACGGGCCUUCGGGUGCCGACGAGUGGCGAACGGGUGAGUAAUGCAUCGGAACGUACCUUUCAGUGGGGGAUAACGUAGCGAAAGUUACGCUAAUACCGCAUAUUCUGUGAGCAGGAAAGCAGGGGAUCGCAAGACCUUGCGCUGAUUGAGCGGCCGAUGUCAGAUUAGCUAGUUGGUGAGGUAAAGGCUCACCAAGGCGACGAUCUGUAGCGGGUCUGAGAGGAUGAUCCGCCACACUGGAACUGAGACACGGUCCAGACUCCUACGGGAGGCAGCAGUGGGGGAAUUUUGGACAAAUGGGGGGCAACCCUGAUCCAGCCAUGCCGCGUGAGUGAAGAAGGCCUCGGUUGUAAG
rnacentral:rRNA from 1 species